GGUUAAGCGACUAAGCGUACACGGUGGAUGCCCUGGCAGUCAGAGGCGAUGAAGGGCGUGCUAAUCUGCGAUAAGCGCCGGUAAGGUGAUAUGAACCGUUAUAACCGGCGAUACCCGAAUGGGGAAACCCAGUGUGAUUCGUCACACUAUCAUUAACUGAAUCCAUAGGUUAAUGAGGCGAACCGGGGGAACUGAAACAUCUAAGUACCCCGAGGAAAAGAAAUCAACCGAGAUUCCCCCAGUAGCGGCGAGCGAACGGGGAGGAGCCCAGAGCCUGAAUCAGCAUGUGUGUUAGUGGAAGCGUCUGGAAAGGCGCGCGAUACAGGGUGACAGCCCCGUACACAAAAGCGCAUGUGCUGUGAGCUCGAUGAGUAGGGCGGGACACGUGGUAUCCUGUCUGAAUAUGGGGGGACCAUCCUCCAAGGCUAAAUACUCCUGACUGACCGAUAGUGAACCAGUACCGUGAGGGAAAGGCGAAAAGAACCCCGGCGAGGGGAGUGAAAAAGAACCUGAAACCGUGUACGUACAAGCAGUGGGAGCCCCACCACUAAGCCAGUGGUGAACUCCACAUCCGCAUCCUUUGCUGAGGAUACGGUUAACGGAGCGAAAGCGACGUUCAACCGCAAAACAAGCAGAGGGGGCUUAGUGGUGGGGUGACUGCGUACCUUUUGUAUAAUGGGUCAGCGACUUAUAUUCUGUAGCAAGGUUAACCGAAUAGGGGAGCCGGAGGGAAACCGAGUCUUAAUUGGGCGUUAAGUUGCAGGGUAUAGACCCGAAACCCGGUGAUCUAGCCAUGGGCAGGUUGAAGGUUGGGUAACACUAACUGGAGGACCGAACCGACUAAUGUUGAAAAAUUAGCGGAUGACCUGUGGCUGGGGGUGAAAGGCCAAUCAAACCGGGAGAUAGCUGGUUCUCCCCGAAAGCUAUUUAGGUAGCGCCUCGUGAAUUCAUCUCCGGGGGUAGAGCACUGUUUCGGCUAGGGGGCCAUCCCGGCUUACCAACCCGAUGCAAACUGCGAAUACCGGAGAAUGUUAUCACGGGAGACACACGGCGGGUGCUAACGUCCGUCGUGAAGAGGGAAACAACCCAGACCGCCAGCUAAGGUCCCAAAGUCAUGGUUAAGUGGGAAACGAUGUGGGAAGGCCCAGACAGCCAGGAUGUUGGCUUAGAAGCAGCCAUCAUUUAAAGAAAGCGUAAUAGCUCACUGGUCGAGUCGGCCUGCGCGGAAGAUGUAACGGGGCUAAACCAUGCACCGAAGCUGCGGCAGCGAACGUAUCACCCAAGACAACUUUACGGAGUUGACGAUUGACGGAGCGAAGCGACGUCAAAGCGUUCAUUAAAGUCGAGUUGGCUUAGGGAUACGUUCGUUGGGUAGGGGAGCGUUCUGUAAGCCUGUGAAGGUGUGUCGUGAGGCAUGCUGGAGGUAUCAGAAGUGCGAAUGCUGACAUAAGUAACGAUAAAGCGGGUGAAAAGCCCGCUCGCCGGAAGACCAAGGGUUCCUGUCCAACGUUAAUCGGGGCAGGGUGAGUCGACCCCUAAGGCGAGGCCGAAAGGCGUAGUCGAUGGGAAACGGGUUAAUAUUCCCGUACUUGGUGUUACUGCGAAGGGGGGACGGAGAAGGCUAUGUUGGCCGGGCGACGGUUGUCCCGGUUUAAGCGUGUAGGUGUGUGUUCCAGGUAAAUCCGGUUCACUUUAACACUGAGGCGUGACGACGAGGCACUACGGUGCUGAAGCAACAAAUGCCCUGCUUCCAGGAAAAGCCUCUAAGCAUCAGGUAACACGAAAUCGUACCCCAAACCGACACAGGUGGUCAGGUAGAGAAUACCAAGGCGCUUGAGAGAACUCGGGUGAAGGAACUAGGCAAAAUGGUGCCGUAACUUCGGGAGAAGGCACGCUGACACGUAGGUGAAGUGAUUUACUCAUGGAGCUGAAGUCAGUCGAAGAUACCAGCUGGCUGCAACUGUUUAUUAAAAACACAGCACUGUGCAAACACGAAAGUGGACGUAUACGGUGUGACGCCUGCCCGGUGCCGGAAGGUUAAUUGAUGGGGUCAGCGCAAGCGAAGCUCCUGAUCGAAGCCCCGGUAAACGGCGGCCGUAACUAUAACGGUCCUAAGGUAGCGAAAUUCCUUGUCGGGUAAGUUCCGACCUGCACGAAUGGCGUAAUGAUGGCCAGGCUGUCUCCACCCGAGACUCAGUGAAAUUGAACUCGCUGUGAAGAUGCAGUGUACCCGCGGCAAGACGGAAAGACCCCGUGAACCUUUACUAUAGCUUGACACUGAACAUUGAGCCUUGAUGUGUAGGAUAGGUGGGAGGCUUUGAAGUGUGGACGCCAGUCUGCAUGGAGCCGACCUUGAAAUACCACCCUUUAAUGUUUGAUGUUCUAACGUGGACCCGUAAUCCGGGUUGCGGACAGUGUCUGGUGGGUAGUUUGACUGGGGCGGUCUCCUCCUAAAGAGUAACGGAGGAGCACGAAGGUUGGCUAAUCCUGGUCGGACAUCAGGAGGUUAGUGCAAUGGCAUAAGCCAGCUUGACUGCGAGCGUGACGGCGCGAGCAGGUGCGAAAGCAGGUCAUAGUGAUCCGGUGGUUCUGAAUGGAAGGGCCAUCGCUCAACGGAUAAAAGGUACUCCGGGGAUAACAGGCUGAUACCGCCCAAGAGUUCAUAUCGACGGCGGUGUUUGGCACCUCGAUGUCGGCUCAUCACAUCCUGGGGCUGAAGUAGGUCCCAAGGGUAUGGCUGUUCGCCAUUUAAAGUGGUACGCGAGCUGGGUUUAGAACGUCGUGAGACAGUUCGGUCCCUAUCUGCCGUGGGCGCUGGAGAACUGAGGGGGCUGCUCCUAGUACGAGAGGACCGGAGUGGACGCAUCACUGGUGUUCGGGUUGUCAUGCCAAUGGCACUGCCCGGUAGCUAAAUGCGGAAGAGAUAAGUGCUGAAAGCAUCUAAGCACGAAACUUGCCCCGAGAUGAGUUCUCCCUGAGACUUAGAGUCUCCUGAAGGAACGUUGAAGACGACGACGUUGAUAGGCCGGGUGUGUAAGCGCAGCGAUGCGUUGAGCUAACCGGUACUAAUGAACCGUGAGGCUUAACCUU
rnacentral:rRNA from 1 species